GAUGAACGCUGGCGGCGUGCCUAAUACAUGCAAGUCGAGCGAACAGACGAGGAGCUUGCUCCUCUGACGUUAGCGGCGGACGGGUGAGUAACACGUGGAUAACCUACCUAUAAGACUGGGAUAACUUCGGGAAACCGGAGCUAAUACCGGAUAAUAUAUUGAACCGCAUGGUUCAAUAGUGAAAGACGGUUUUGCUGUCACUUAUAGAUGGAUCCGCGCCGCAUUAGCUAGUUGGUAAGGUAACGGCUUACCAAGGCAACGAUGCGUAGCCGACGGGAGAGGGUGAUCGGCCACACUGGAGCUGAGACACGGUCCAGACUCCUACGGGAGGCAGCAGUAGGGAAUCUGCCGCAAUGGGCGAAAGCCUGACGGAGCAACGCCGCGUGAGUGAUGAAGGUCUUCGGAUCGUAAAACUCUGUUAUUAGGGAAGAACAAAUGUGUAAGUAACUAUGCACGGCUUGACGGUACCUAAUCAGAAAGCCACGGCUAACUACGUG
rnacentral:rRNA from 1 species